UACGGAGGAUGCAAGCGUUAUCCGGAUUUAUUGGGUUUAAAGGGUGCGUAGGCGGAUAUGUAAGUCAGCGGUGAAACUCACAGGCUCAACCUGUGCCGUGCCGUUGAAACUGUGUAUCUGGAAUGCGGAUGCUGUGGGAGGAAUGUGUAGUGUAGUGGUGAAAUGCAUAGAUAUUACACAGAACACCGAUUGCGAAGGCAUCUCACAAAGCCGUUAUUGACGCUGAGGCACGAAAGUGUGGGGAUCAAA
rnacentral:rRNA from 1 species